rnacentral:rRNA from 1 species
AUUGAACGCUGGCGGCAUGCCUUACACAUGCAAGUCGAACGGUAACAGGUUAAGCUGACGAGUGGCGAACGGGUGAGUAAUGUAUCGGAACGUGCCCAGUCGUGGGGGAUAACUACUCGAAAGAGUGGCUAAUACCGCAUACGACCUGAGGGUGAAAGCGGGGGACCGUAAGGCCUCGCGCGAUUGGAGCGGCCGAUAUCAGAUUAGCUAGUUGGUGGGGUAAAAGCCCACCAAGGCGACGAUCUGUAGCUGGUCUGAGAGGACGACCAGCCACACUGGGACUGAGACACGGCCCAGACUCCUACGGGAGGCAGCAGUGGGGAAUUUUGGACAAUGGACGCAAGUCUGAUCCAGCCAUGCCGCGUGCGGGAAGAAGGCCUUCGGGUUGUAAAGGACUUUUGUCCGGGAGCAAAUGCUGGUGGCUAACAUCCACCGGAGCUGAGAGUACCGGAAGAAUAAGCACCGGCUAACUACGUGCCAGCCGCCGCAGUAACAC